rnacentral:rRNA from 1 species
CCCUUAGAUGUCCGGGGCCGCACGCGCGCUACACUGAAGGAAUCAGCGUGGCUUUCUCCCUGACCCGAAAGGGUUGGGAAACCCGUUGAAUCUCCUUCGUGAUAGGGAUUGGGGCUUGAAAUUGUUCCCCAUGAACGAGGAAUUCCCAGUAAGCGCGAGUCAUAAGCUCGCGUUGAUUCCGUCCCUGCCCUUUGUACACACCGCCCGUCGCUACUACCGAUUGAACGGUUUAGUGAGGGCCUCGGAUUGGUCUCGGCCCGCUCUUUACCGGGCGGCGCCGUUGGUCGAGAAGACGCUCGAACUUGAUCGUUUAGAGGAAGUAAAAGUCGUAACA